rnacentral:tRNA from 1 species
AAUAAAAUUAUUAAAAAAAUUGAAUAUUUUUAUAAUAAUUUAAACUAUUUAAAGUAUAUUAAAAAUUCAUAAUAACAGCUCACAGUAUUAAUUUUAAAUAUUAAAAUAUUUUUAAUAGUUAAUUUCAUAUAUUAUAUUAAUAUUUUUAAAAUUUAUAGACAUAAUUUCCAAAAAACAAUUUUAAAUUUGCAAAACACAAAUAAUCUUAGAAAUUUAAAAAAUCAUAUUAAAAAAUAUUUUUAUUA